AAAAAAUACAUUUUUCAUAUUUUUUUUUUUUCAAACCGUUGAUCGUUCACGUACCCGCACGAUAAUUCGUACCCAUUAUACGGACAAUAAACAAUCCGAUCGACAAACAAUCGCCUACCGCACGCGCGCCCGCCGAUGUUCCCACAAACCGGACCGGCGGACAUAUACCGGGCGGCGAUCUGUUCGGUUUCAAUACGUUUCAAUUUUGAUUUUUCCACUCUGCGUUCCCAUUUCGUACGCGGCCGUAUUUAUUCCGCGGUGUUCUCUGUCUAUGUUCGAUGCGUACGAACCGACCGGUCGACAGUAUCCGCGUACGCCGGAAUAUUCUCAUUGACAAAUACAGGGUAAUUUAUUUCAACUCCUUAAGUGAAACGCCGUUUUACGGGCCGGCACGUCUUGCCGUGAUUGUCAAAUUACCGGUCGCCCGGAAAAUAAUAAUAUUCUCCCGCGCAAGAGCCGUUCGCUCGUCCGGCCGUUUUGUACUGGACGGUCCGCGUUGUCGGCCGAAAGUUUAGCGGGCGCGGUCCGGUUCCGAAAAUCCGCGGACCCGAAAACAUCGCCGCAGAGCCCAUGCGCCCCGGUCGGCCGCGUGCGAGAGCCGAGACGGCACGUCGCGUCGGUAUCGUAUGUUAUGGUUUCGGGGCGGACACGUUAUCGCGGUACUGUACUUGCAAAGAAUAAAAAAAAAAAACAAAAAGGGAGAAAAACAAAAAACGAAAACCGUUACGGUGUUCGCGCGUGUCGUCGCGAUAUUGCCGUCGUCGUAGUCGGCGUUUUAUACGGGCGCGCGCAAUACGCGUAACAACGACGAUAACGUAAACGCGCGGGGACUUGUGCGCAUUGUCGGGUCGCCUGUAGAAAAAAAACAAAAAACUAAACAAAACUCUCUUCGGACGUCGUGUCAUCGUGACGGCGCGACCGCGGCGCAGUCGCGCGGACGCCGCAUUUACGGGGUUCCUCUGCCGCGCGUUAUCCGAUCCACGACCGGAGCCGCCCGACGUUUCGAAAAUAGAAAAAACGAUUUAUUUUUUUUUUUUUUUUUUUUCUGUUUACCCGUCCGUUUCGAUAUUACAAUGCGUACGGUGCGCGUGCGGGCGGGUACGGCGACGGCGGCGGCGUAAACGUGUGCGACUCGGGAGUCUUUUCAGCCGUAUAAUAUAAUCGCGGAUCCGAAUCGGGAGGUAUCGGUAGAGGCAGGCCGAUAUAUUAUUUUUAUUAUUAUUGUUGUUGUUGUAAUAUUUUCUCGUGCGGCGUGUGCAGACGGCGGUUUCCUCCUCCUCCU